rnacentral:rRNA from 1 species
UACGUAGGGUGCGAGCGUUAAUCGGAAUUACUGGGCGUAAAGCGUGCGCAGGCUGUUUUGUAAGUCAGAUGUGAAAUCCCUGGGCUCAACCUAGGAACUGCGUUUGAAACUACAAGGCUAGAGUGUAGCAGAGGGGGGUAGAAUUCCACGUGUAGCAGUGAAAUGCGUAGAGAUGUGGAGGAAUACCAAUGGCGAAGGCAGCCCCCUGGGUUAACACUGACGCUCAUGACACGAAAGCGUGGGGAGCAAACAGG